rnacentral:tRNA from 1 species
UCCCUGAUAGCUCAGUUGGUAAAGAAUCUGCCUGCAAUGUGGUAGAUCCUGGUUCAAUUCCUUGGUCAGGGAA